rnacentral:rRNA from 1 species
UACGAACGCUGGCGGCGUGCUUAACACAUGCAAGUCGAACGGAAAGGCCCUGCUUUUGUGGGGUGCUCGAGUGGCGAACGGGUGAGUAACACGUGAGUAACCUGCCCUUGACUUUGGGAUAACUUCAGGAAACUGGGGCUAAUACCGGAUAGGAGCUCCUGCUGCAUGGUGGGGGUUGGAAAGUUUCGGCGGUUGGGGAUGGACUCGCGGCUUAUCAGCUUGUUGGUGGGGUAGUGGCUUACCAAGGCUUUGACGGGUAGCCGGCCUGAGAGGGUGACCGGCCACAUUGGGACUGAGAUACGGCCCAGACCCCUACGGGAGGCAGCAGUGGGGAAUAUUGCACAAUGGGCGGAAGCCUGAUGCAGCAACGCCGCGUGCGGGAUGACGGCCUUCGGGUUGUAAACCGCUUUCGCCUGUGACGAAGCGUGAGUGACGGUAAUGGGUAAAGAAGCACCGGCUAACUACGUGCCAGCAGCCGCGGUGAUACGUAGGGUGCGAGCGUUGUCCGGAUUUAUUGGGCGUAAAGGGCUCGUAGGUGGUUGAUCGCGUCGGAAGUGUAAUCUUGGGGCUUAACCCUGAGCGUGCUUUCGAUACGGGUUGACUUGAGGAAGGUAGGGGAGAAUGGAAUUCCUGGUGGAGCGGUGGAAUGCGCAGAUAUCAGGAGGAACACCAGUGGCGAAGGCGGUUCUCUGGGCCUUUCCUGACGCUGAGGAGCGAAAGCGUGGGGAGCGAACAGGCUUAGAUACCCUGGUAGUCCACGCUGUAAACGGUGGGUACUAGGUGUGGGGUCCAUUCCACGGGUUCCGUGCCGUAGCUAACGCUUUAAGUACCCCGCCUGGGGAGUACGGCCGCAAGGCUAAAACUCAAAGGAAUUGACGGGGCCCCGCACAAGCGGCGGAGCAUGCGGAUUAAUUCGAUGCAACGCGUAGAACCUUACCUGGGUUUGACAUGGAUCGGGAGUGCUCAGAGAUGGGUGUGCCUCUUUUGGGGUCGGUUCACAGGUGGUGCAUGGCUGUCGUCAGCUCGUGUCGUGAGAUGUUGGGUUAAGUCCCGCAACGAGCGCAACCCUUGUUCACUGUUGCCAGCACGUUAUGGUGGGGACUCAGUGGAGACCGCCGGGGUCAACUCGGAGGAAGGUGGGGAUGACGUCAAGUCAUCAUGCCCCUUAUGUCCAGGGCUUCACGCAUGCUACAAUGGCUGGUACAGAGAGUGGCGAGCCUGUGAGGGUGAGCGAAUCUCGGAAAGCCGGUCUCAGUUCGGAUUGGGGUCUGCAACUCGACCUCAUGAAGUCGGAGUCGCUAGUAAUCGCAGAUCAGCAACGCUGCGGUGAAUACGUUCCCGGGGCUUGUACACACCGCCCGUCAAGUCAUGAAAGUUGGUAACACCCGAAGCCGGUGGCCUAACCGUUGUGGGGGAGCCGUCGAAGGUG